CUCAGCCAUGGCCGCCGGCCCCGCGCCCCACGGCGGGCACCGCCGCGCGCAGAGGCCGCAUCUGAGCAAGAUGGAGCGGAUGGUCGUGAGUAUGCAGGACCCCGACCAGGGCGUGAAGAUGCGGAGCCAGCGCCUGCUCGUCACCGUCAUUCCACACGCAGUGACUGGCAACGACGUCAUGGAGUGGUUGAUCCAGAAGUACUGCAUCACAGAGGAGGAGGCCCUGCACCUGGGCACCCUCCUAGUGCGGCAUGGCUACCUAUACCCACUGCGAGACCCCUGCCACCUUGAGCUCCGGCUGGAUGAAACGCCCUAUAGGUUCCAGGUCAGGCUCAACUGGGAGCAGACGCCCUAUUUCUGGAUGAGCACCCUGUGGCCAGCCGCUGAGCUGGACUACGCCAUCUACCUGGCCAAGAAGAACAUCCGAAAGCGGGGGGGCCUGGUUGACCACGAAAAGGAGCACUAUGACCAGCUGCACAGGAAGAUCAGCCACACGUGGGACCUGGUAGUGAUGCAGGCGAGAGAGCAGCUGCGGGCAGCUAAGCAGCGCAGGAAGGGGGACAGGCUGGUCAUCGCAUGCCAGGAGCAGACGUACUGGCUGGUGAACAGGCCCCCGCCCGGGGUCCCCAGCGUGCUGGAGCAAGGUCCACAGCGGGGUUCCUGCACUGCUGGGCGAGUGCAGAUGACCAAGACCGUGGAUUUCUACAGGCGGGAGGUCGAGUGCUUACGAAAGGCACUGGGCAGGACCCGGGUGAAGUCCUCCGUCUGCCUUGAGGCGUACCUGAAAUUUAGCAGCCAGCGUGGGCCGCAUGACCCCAUCAUGUCGGGGUGCCUGCCCAGCAACCCCUGGGUCACAGACAACGAUACCUACUGGGCCAUGAAUGCACCCAGCGCGGCCGUGCCCACAAGGCUCCGUGUGGAGCAGUGGGCCUUCAGCUUCCGGGAACUCUUGGAAGACCCCGUGGGACGGGCCCAUUUCAUGGACUUUCUCAGGAAAGAGUUCAGUGCCGAAAACCUCAGCUUCUGGGAGGCCUGUGAGGAGCUGCGCCACGGAGGGCAGGCGCAGGUCCCCGCCCUGGUGGACGCCGUGUACCAGCAGUUCCUGGCCCCCGGUGCUGCCCGCUGGGUCAACAUCGACAGCCGGACGAUGGAGCGGACGCUGGUGGGCCUGGGCCGGCCGCACCGCCAUGUGCUGGACGACGCCCAGCUGCACAUCUACAUGCUGAUGAAGAAGGACUCCUACCCGAGGUUCCUGAAGUCGGACUUGUACAAAGACCUGCUGGCGGAGGCCGUGGUGCCCCCGGAGACCAAGCGACGGGUGUUCCCGUUCAUGCGGAAGCCGCGCCAUUCCAGCCCCAGCCCUGCUCUCCUUCCUGCCUCUGCCUCCGGGGAGCCCUCGGGUGGUGACGGGGAGGCCUAGGUGGGCCUGGGCAGGGGCAGAAGGGGGCCAUCUUGCCCUCAUCAACUCCUCUUGCCCAGGGUCCUUGCAGCCACUGAGACUCCCCGGCGCGGGAGUCCCCUCGGGCCCUAAGCGCCUGGCCUUACGGGGGCACCGACCUCUCUGGCUUCCACCUUUUCCCUUGUCACACCCUCUCCCAGAAGGGGCUGUUCUGGGGGCUGAUUCCCAGGGCAGGGGUGCCCUGGACUGAGACAAGAUGGCAGCACACCCGCUGGUGACUCCCAGGGCAACAUUCAUAGUCAGGUGGCCGCCAGCAGGGGGCGCGGGAAUGCAGGGGGAGGUGCUGCUCCCACUGGGCCGUGGCCUCUCCGCCUCCGUGGCCACCCGAGGCCGUGGCUUCUCCCCGGUGUUGGACAGAGAUGGCUCCAGCAUCGUUGCUCCUCCAACAGCCAGCCCAGGUUCACAGCCAGGGCGGCAGAGCCUCUGGGGAAAGACACCAGGGAGUCUCCACUCCGAGGGCCCCCCGAGACUCAGCUGCUCCUUUGGGAGUGCAGCCAGACUGGCUCAGCUGGGGCAGCGCCGCCCCUCCCUCAGGGCUGCCCACACCCUCCUGCUCCCAGCGCAGAAAUAAAAGACCUUUGGGUCCUCACUCUGAGCCUGUCCUGCUGUGGUCCAAAUCGUGGUGGGUGCACACGUGGUGGGUGUGCUUGUGGUGGGUGUGCAUGCACGUGUGGCAUGUGGGUGAGGCAUGCACUGGUGAGGGAGGUGGUGAAGGACAACGGGCAGUUCAGGUGUCAGAGGCAGUGGGUGGAGGAUCCCUUGUGUGGGGUCUGUAGGCCUGGGGCUGGGCUCAGGCUGCAGACUUGGGGAGACAGUGGGGAGCUUGUGCUCUGGCGGCACAGGGAUGCCCGAGUCCUCCAGGGGAGAGUGAGCACAGAGUCCAGGGGGCUGUCUGGUGUUGAACCCAGCCUCUCCAGGGUCAGCUGUGCCCUAAGACAUCACAGUGACAGGGAGCACAGUGCGGGCUUUAUUUACAAGUCCAGGGUGCACCGGUGAGGGUGUCUCCGGGGCAGCCCAGACCCCGAACUCCUGCACAUCGUCCUGGAACCUGAAGGCUGGUCCCUGCCCAGAGCCGGCUCCUCCAUCCACCGCUGUGGACCCAGACCUGGGCCCUUGGGCCCGGGUGGCUUCUCCAGGGACAGGGAAUCCAACCCCUCAACCUCAGCCUUGUUGUUGCCUCCCAGGCCUUCGCAAGGAGAAACAGACCUGGUUCUGGAAGCAGGCUUGUCACACGUACCCGGGGUCAUCAGGCUGCUUGCUUUUGUCCGGUCACGGCUGAGUCCCACAGCACCAGGCAGGUCUGGGGUGACCAAGGCACAGAG